CAGCAGCUCGAGUGGUGGUCGUUAUUAUUGAGCCUAAAGCGUCCGUAGCCUGGCUAGUAAACCCUUGGGUAAAUCGGGGAGCUCAACUCUCCGACUUCCGAGGAGACUGCUAGCCUUGGGACUGGGAGAGGUCGGAGGAACUCUAGGGGUAGGGGUGAAAUCCUGUAAUCCUUAGUGGACCACCAGUGGCGAAGGCGUCCGACUAGAACGGGUCCGACGGUGAGGGACGAAGCCCAGGGGAACAAACCGGAUUAGAUACCCGAGUAGUCC
rnacentral:rRNA from 1 species